GCUAAGGCCAUUCAAAUGAAGAGAAGAAGAAGAAGAAUUUGACAGGAAACCAGUAAUGGUUAUCAAAAUAACGAUUCAUCGAGAGGACCAAUUCGUGUACCUAAAAGAUUGAUACGCCUAAAAGAAAAGCUUUAAGCGAUGAACACUUUGAGGUAUUGGUACUUACAAAGGCAAAUUCAAAGGCACUUCACUUCUGACUUCGUCAGCAAUUGGAAUACUUUCUGUAUUAGUACGUUUUUAUUUUAAUUUAAUGUUUCCUUAUAAGUUUAUGUUCUAGUUUUAUUAUUCAUAAGCAAUAAACGAUUUUUUGAG